GACGUAGGAGGCGAGCGUUAUCCGGAUUCACUGGGCGUAAAGCGCAUGUAGGCGGUUGCACAAGUCCGUUGUUAAAGCCCCUGGCUCAACUGGGGGAGGUCAAUGGAGACUGUGCGACUUGAGGGCAAUAGAGGCACGUGGAACUCCCGGUGUAGCGGUGGAAUGCGUAGAGAUCGGGAAGAACACCAGUGGCGAAGGCGACGUGCAGGGUUGCACCUGACGCUGAGAUGCGAAAGUGUGGGGAGCAAACGGG
rnacentral:rRNA from 1 species